rnacentral:rRNA from 1 species
AUGGAGGCAGAGUACCCCCAAAUAAACCCUCUCCUCCUCUGCUCCAGGCGCCGGAAAAGGGAGGAGGACGAGGGAGGGCUCGAGCUGCUGCUGUCCAUGGAUCUCGACGAGGAGGAGACGCGCUCGGAGCAGCAGGCGCCGCCUCGGGUUCCGGACAAGCUGAAAGCAGUGUCACAAGAGCUUGGACAUGACAUCCGGAUAUUUACAAGCACAACAUUUGAGCUAAUGACUAGCAAAUUGUCCAAGGCAGAUCAGGAGGAAGACGAUGACUUUUAUGAGCUUCAGCCUAGUGAUUAUUACAAGUUGAUUUCAAAUAGGCUUGCAGAACAAUCGAAAGUUCUGAAGACUCGUAAAAUAAGGGAAGCAGAACUUGCUGCUCAACGAGCAAGGCUAACAAAGGCAGUGGCGAGGGUUCGAUUCCCUGAUGGUUACAUUCUUGAGGCUGAGUUCCAUCCAUCAGAGACGGUACAUAGUCUGGUGGAUCUUCUCAUGAAAGUAAUUGCUAGAAAAGACCUGCCAUUCUAUCUUUACACAGUUCCUCCAAAGAAGCGAAUAAUGGACACCUCGCAGGACUUCUACACAAUUGGCUUUGUUCCUGGAGCUAAUGUCUUCUUUUCUUAUGAUCUGCCAGAAGGGUCGGAGUUAAAUACAGAUGCUGUAAAAUCCGGACCAUAUCUCCGUGAAGAAAUUCGAACUUUGGAUGGACUGUCACUUCAGUCGGAACCUUCUGACCAACCUGAUGAUUCAAAGACAAAUUCUGAUUCAGCUCAUCAGUCUUAUGCAUUCCAAUCUGAUUCUGCACCAGCAGCAGCAAAUAAGAAAUCAGCCAAACCAAAGUGGUUCAAAAGGUGA